rnacentral:ncRNA from 2 species
GACGAACCGAGCGAACGUUGUUCGGAAUCACUGGGCUUAAAGGGCGCGUAGGCGGCUCUUCAAGUCGGGGGUGAAAUCCCACAGCUUAACUGUGGAAGUGCCUUCGAUACUGAGGAGCUCGAGCGAGGUAGGGGCCGAGGGAACUUCUGGUGGAGCGGUGAAAUGCGUUGAUAUCAGAAGGAACGCCGGUGGCGAAAGCGCUCGGCUGGACCUCUCCUGACGCUGAGGCGCGAAAGCUAGGGGAGCAAACGGG